rnacentral:pre_miRNA from 1 species
CUAAGUACUAGUGCCGCAGGUGUCUGUGUUUAUUGUACCCCUGCAGACUGGUGCUUAACG